AUUGAACGCUGGCGGCAUGCCUUACACAUGCAAGUCGAACGGCAGCACGGGAGCAAUCCUGGUGGCGAGUGGCGAACGGGUGAGUAAAGUAUCGGAACGUGCCCAGUCGUGGGGGAUAACGUAGCGAAAGUUACGCUAAUACCGCAUACGAUCUAUGGAUGAAAGCGGGGGAUCGCAAGACCUCGCGCGAUUGGAGCGGCCGAUAUCAGAUUAGGUAGUUGGUGGGGUAAAGGUUCACCAAGCCGACGAUCUGUAGCUGGUCUGAGAGGACGACCAGCCACACUGGGACUGAGACACGGCCCAGACUCCGACGGGAGGCAGCAGUGGGGAAUAUUGGACAAUGGGCGCAAGCCUGAUCCAGCCAUGCCGCGUGCAGGAAGAAGGCCUUCGGGUUGUAAAGUGCUUUUAUAGGGGACGAAAAGGGUUGGCUUAAUACGUUGAACUCAUGACGGUACCGUAAGAAUAAGCACCGGCUAACUACGUGCCAGCCGCCGCGGUAA
rnacentral:rRNA from 1 species